ACAGGCUUACCAAGUUCGACAGCUUAAGGGUCAUGGUUGUGUGCAGACUAUGCAGUCAGCUGCCCAAGGACACAUCCCCAGUUCACUGAAAGAGUUAGAUGUGAGUUGCCAUGGCAACGAGGAGCUCAAACAGCAGUAAGAAAAGUUAGUGGAAGCCAUUCCGAAAAGGCGAGUACAUACUGACUAAACCAAGGUUUGGUUCAUGCUUAUCUAGAACUUCAUAGAUGCAAUGGUGGAUUAUUCACUGCACAUGAAGCGAUCCAGGUUAUGGACCAGUCAACCUGCAAAAAGAACGAAGGAUUUGGACCAUUCUGCAAUGGAUCUCAAGUUGGCCGACGAUGUGCAAGGCAAGGAAGCUGUAUGCAUCUGCCAUUUAUCUUGAACCUGAAAUUCUAAGAGCUGAACUGGCAAGAGGUGAUAUGCGUUUGGUGAAUCCUGGAUUAAGCAAGCAAUUUUGCUGCUUGAAAGAUAUUAGAGGCAAUAGGCAGAUGAUUCUCCACUCAUCAAGUUAGCUAAAGUAUUUUCAGCAACAAAUCUGUUCUCCCAAUAUCAAUCUGCACUAAGUGCAGGUUAAGGAAUAACUGAAGACAAGAAUGAUGGCAUGAGCAAUGGUAUAAAUUUUUCUCGCUUUAUUCAAAUGCUAGUUUACCUGAGAUCGUGCACAUAAUUUAUUUGUUCGCAUUCUAGCCCUCAUAGGUUUAGAUUAUUAUUUUGUCCCACCAGAGCCAUACGCAACAAAAACUGAACCAUCACUGUGCAAUCUGAAUAUUUAGUGAGUGUUGUUAAUUAUGUAUCCAUCUAGUCAGAAGCUCUUGAAAGCCAGUCACUCUUUUUCUAUCCUUGGAUUGCUACCCUCUGACACUUGUCAUCACAAUUCAUGCAUUGCAAUCUCGCAUAAGCCGCUUGUACCCAUUCUGUCGCCGGUGUAUCCAUUCUCUUUGUAUAAGCCACUUCAUUCUUUUGUGCAUCAGUUCAACCUAUUAUAUAAGGUUUGCACAUUUGUUAUUCUCCGAUAAAACUCAAUGGGAGAGUUCAUUUUAUGGUUCUCCAGUCCUUUGGAAACAGAGUCAUCCAAUAAUUUAAAGCUCUUGAAAGCCAAACAUUUCUUUUGUAUCAUUCCAUUGACUCCUUGGAUCUUGCAGACUCCAUUGAUGUAUCCAUUAGACUAUUACGUAGAGUUUACAUACUGUUCCUCUUUGAUAUAUUCA